rnacentral:rRNA from 1 species
CGGCGAACGGGUGAGUAACACGUGGAUAACCUACCUAUAAGACUGGGAUAACUUCGGUAAACCGGAGCUAAUACCGGAUAAUAUAUUGAACCGCAUGGUUCAAUAGUGAAANACGGUUUUGCUGUCACUUAUAGAUGGAUCCGCGCCGCAUUAGCUAGUUGGUAAGGUAACGGCUUACCAAGGCAACGAUGCGUAGCCGACCUGAGAGGGUGAUCGGCCACACUGGAACUGAGACACGGUCCAGACUCCUACGGGAGGCAGCAGGC